AUGCAGCUGGUGGAGUCUGGGGGAGACCUGGUGAAGCCUGAGGGGUCCCUGAGACUCUCCUGUGCAGCCUCUGGAUUCACCUUCAGUAGCUACGGCAUGAGCUGGGUCCGCCAGGCUCCAGGGAAUGGGCUGCAGUGGGUCGCAGGUAUUAGCUAUGAUGGAAGUAGCACAUACUAUGCAGACUCUGUAAAGGGCCGAUUCACCAUCUCCAGAGACAACGGCAAGAACACGCUGUAUCUUCAGAUGAACAGCCUGAGAGCCGAGGACACGGCCGUGUAUUACUGUGCAACAGACACAGUGAGGGGAUAUCAGUGUGAGCCCAGACACAAACCUCACUGUAGGACGGGAUCUGGACCACCAGGGGGUGCACACUACUCACGAAUUCUGUCGUAA